UAUUUAUAGUCUAGCCUGCUCACUGACAAAAAGUGUUAAAUAGCCGCGGUAUUUUGACCGUGCAAAGGUAGCAUAAUCAUUAGUUUUUUAAUUGGAAACUUGUAUGAAUGGUUGGACAAAGAAAAGACUGUCUCUUUUAUUAAAAUUGAAAUUAACUUCUAAGUGAAAAGGCUUAGAUUUUCUAGAGGGACGAUAAGACCCUAUAAAGCUUCAUAAGUUAAAUAAAUUAGAUGGAUUUUUAGAAUAAAAGUAAAUUUAGUAAGCUUAUUUAGUUGGGGCGACAAGGGUAUAAAAUUAAAUAACUGCUAUUAAGGUUAGACAAUUAUAUUUGGUUGGAUUGUAAUUGAUCCUCGCUAUGGAUUAAAAGAUUAAGUUACUUUAGGGAUAACAGCGUAAUUUCUUUUAAGAGUUCUUAUCAAAGGAGAAGUUUGCGACCUCGAUGUUGAAUUAAAAUGUCUUUAUAGUGCAGAAGCUAUAAAGGAAGGUCUGUUGGACCUUUAAUUUUUUACAUGAUUUGAGU
rnacentral:rRNA from 1 species